rnacentral:rRNA from 1 species
UACAGAGGGGGCAAGCGUUAUUCGGAAUUAUUGGGCGUAAAGGGCGCGUAGGCGGCCUGGCAAGUGGAAGGUGAAAUCCCUCGGCUUAACCGAGGAACUGCCCUCCCAAACUGCUUGGCUUGAGACCGGGAGAGGUGAGUGGAAUUCCCAGUGUAGCGGUGAAAUGCGUAGAUAUUGGGAGGAACACCAGUGGCGAAGGCGGCUCACUGGACCGGUACUGACGCUGAGGAGCGAAAGCGUGGGGAGCGA